GAUGAACGCUAGCUACAGGCUUAACACAUGCAAGUCGAGGGGUAGCACGGAGGAAGCUUGCUUCCUUGGGUGACGACCGGCGCACGGGUGAGUAACGCGUAUCCGACCUACCUCUUGCAGAGGGAUAGCCUCGGGAAACCGGGAUUAAAAACCUCAUAAUGCCAGUUUUAGACAUCUUUAACUGGCCAAAGAUUUAUCGGCAAGAGAUGGGCCUGCGUCUGAUUAGAUAGUUGGUGAGGUAACGGCUCACCAAGUCGACGAUCGGUAGCCGAACUGAGAGGUUGAUCGGCCGCAUUGGGACUGAGACAGGCCCAGACUCCUACGGGAGGCAGCAUGGGGAUAUUGGCACAAUGGAGGGAACUCUGAUGCAGCAACGCCGCGUGAGGGAAGAAGGUCUCGGAUUGUAAACCUAAGUUAUCAGGGACGAUUAUGACGGU
rnacentral:rRNA from 1 species